rnacentral:rRNA from 1 species
GAUGAACGCUGGCGGCGUGCCUAAUACAUGCAAGUCGAGCGAAUGGAUUAAGAGCUUGCUCUUAUGAAGUUAGCGGCGGACGGGUGAGUAACACGUGGGUAACCUGCCCAUAAGACUGGGAUAACUCCGGGAAACCGGGGCUAAUACCGGAUAAUAUUUUGAACCGCAUGGUUCGAAAUUGAAAGGCGGCUUCGGCUGUCACUUAUGGAUGGACCCGCGUCGCAUUAGCUAGUUGGUGAGGUAACGGCUCACCAAGGCAACGAUGCGUAGCCGACCUGGGAGGGUGAUCGGCCACACUGGGACUGAGACACGGCCCAGACUCCUACGGGAGGCAGCAGUAGGGAAUCUUCCGCAAUGGACGAAAGUCUGACGGAGCAACGCCGCGUGAGUGAUGAAGGCUUUCGGGUCGUAAAACUCUGUUGUUAGGGAAGAGCAAGUGCUAGUUGAAUAAGCUGGCACCUUGACGGUACCUAACCAGAAAGCCACGGCUAACUACGUGCCAGCCGCCGCAGUAA